CCUACGGGAGGCAGCAGUGAGGAAUAUUGGUCAAUGGGCGGGAGCCUGAACCAGCCAAGCCGCGUGAGGGAAGAAGGUACAGCGUAUCGUAAACCUCUUUUGUCAGGGAACAAAGGCGGGGACUAGUCCCCGGAUGAGGGUACCUGAAGAAAAAGCAUCGGCUAACUCCGUGCCAGCAGCCGCGGUAAUACGGAGGAUGCGAGCGUUAUCCGGAUUUAUUGGGUUUAAAGGGUGCGCAGGCGGCCUGUGAAGUCAGCGGGAAAAGCCCGGGGCUCAACCCCGGCGAGCCGUUGAAACUGGCGGGCUGGAGUUGGAGAGAAGUACGCGGAAUGCGCGGUGUAGCGGUGAAAUGCUUAGAUAUCGCGCAGAACCCCGAUUGCGAAGGCAGCGUACCGGCUCCACACUGACGCUGAGGCACGAAAGCGUGGGUAUCGAACAGGAUUAGAUACCCCAGUAGUC
rnacentral:rRNA from 1 species